CUGCAGAUGUACAGAACAGUGAAGGGCACAGACAGAUCAUGCGUUGCAGGCCUUGGGCAGCAGGCCAGAGGCAUGGCCUUUCUGAGAAGAGGUGCUGGUGAAGUGGAUGGCUUUGAUGUUUUCAACAGCAGCAGCUCGGUCAACACCACCACUACGUGUGUUCAUUUUCAUUCCUUUGUUGAGAUUUCUGGAUAUUCUGGAUUAUUUGAUGAUCAUGUUCAUGUAUUUCAUAAUUCUGCUUAUGGAUAUGUUAAGUAACUGCUUAUGGAUGCUUAUGGAUGAUUGCGUUUCAUAAUUGCUA